rnacentral:misc_RNA from 1 species
CUGUUCGAGCGUCAUUAUAACCCAUCUAGCUUAGCUAGGUCUUGGGCCUUGCCUCUAGGCGGGCCUUAAAUCCAGUGGCGGUGCUGUCAGGCUCUAAGCGUAGUAAAUAUUUCGCUAUGGAGUCCUGGUGGAUGCUAGCCAGCAACCCCUAAACUUUUCAGGUUGACCUCGGAUCAGGUAGGGAUACCCGCUGAACUUAA